UAUUUAUACAUACUAGAACACCUUGAAUAGGAGAGCCUGAGAAAGGCAGUGUCAGUGUUGUGGUUAGCCAUGAUAGUAUGUGGCAGCUCUGUGAUCUGAAGAGGGACCUACUGAAGUACUCUCCCACCCAGACUUUGGGACUUCAUUAAUCACUGACUUCAAAUUGUGAGUAGGAUGUACUGAAGGAAAGUGACCUGCUAGAGUUCAUGAGACAUUCACACCAGCAGAUAGGGAACUGGAGCAAAGGACACUGUCAAAGGUAUUGAAAAAGUGGGUAUUCUGCUUACUGUUCCUAAAAUAUAUUGCUUUGCUGUUGCUUUUUCCCCAAAAAAGUCAUGAUCCCUUUUGUCCUUAACAAAGUUUCCUUUGUCUUGUAGACGCAGCCACGGUGCCUACAAAGCAGUGAUGGGGGCCCACAGUGCUUUUAUCUUCUGGAGGUGACCAAAAGUUGUGAACUCUCUGGCUACUUGUAUACUAGUCUGCCUUCAAGGGACCCAGCUAUGAGCUGGAAUCUACCUGUACCCAUGGAGACAACAAAAAACAAAAGCUCUGGCCACUGUCCUGGCUCCACUCUCUGCAGCUGAACUUCCACUUCACUCCUCCAGGUAAGUAGCCUGACUUCUCCAAGUCAGCCAGUUGGGGCAGCUCCUUGUUUGGAGACUUCCACCAGUCAUCCCUCUCAGGACCUAGAUCUUGUUUGCAGCCUUUCCUUGGCUGCUGGGAACUUCCUUCCAGUCCCCUUGCUAGA